rnacentral:rRNA from 1 species
GACGAACGCUGGCGGCGUGCCUAAUACAUGCAAGUCGAGCGGAACUGGGGGAGCUUGCUCCUUCCAGUUUAGCGGCGGACGGGUGAGUAACACGUGGGCAACCUGCCCUGCAGAUCGGGAUAACUCCGGGAAACCGGUGCUAAUACCGAAUAGUUUGGCGCCUCUCCUGAGGCGCUACGGAAAGACGGUUUCGGCUGUCACUGCAGGAUGGGCCCGCGGCGCAUUAGCUAGUUGGUGGGGUAACGGCCACCCAGGCGACGAUGCGUAGCCGACCUGAGAGGGUGACCGGCCACACUGGGACUGAGACACGGCCCAGACUCCUACGGGAGGCAGCAGUAGGGAAUCUUCCGCAAUGGACGCAAGUCUGACGGAGCAACGCCGCGUGAGUGACGAAGGUUUUCGGAUCGUAAAACUCUGUUGUGAGGGAAGAACACGUACCAACUAACUAUUGGUACCUUGACGGUACCUCACCAGAAAGCCACGGCUAACUACGUGCCAGCCGCCGCAGUAA